CCCAACACUUGCACCCCCCCUUUCCUGGGAAAUGUUGGAUAAAAAGCCUCACCAAUUUGCAUAGGUGACCACAGACCCAAACCCUUGGAUCUGAGAACAAUGAAAAAGCAUUCAGUUUUUUACAAGAAGACUUUUAAUAAAAAAUAGAAGUAAAUAGAAAUAAAGAAAUCCCCCCUGUAAAAUCAGGAUGGUAGAUAUCUUACAGGGUAAUUAGAUUCCAAAACAUAGAGAACCCCUCUAGGCAAAACCUUAAGUUACAAAAAAGAUACACAGAGAGAAAUAGUUAUUCUAUUCAGCACAAUGCUUUUCUCAGCCAUUUAAAGAAAUCAUAAUCUAACACGUACCUAGCUAGAUUACUUACUAAAAGUUCUAAGACUCCAUUCCUGGUCUAUCCCCGGCAGAAAACCAGCAUAUAGACAGACACACAGACCCUUUGUUUCUCUCCCUCCUCCCGGCUUUUGAAAGUAUCUUGUCUCCUCAUUGGUCAUUGUGGUCAGGUGCCAGCGAGGUUACCUUUAGCUUCUUAACCCUUCACAGGUGAGAGGAGCUUUCCCCUGGCCAGGAGGGGUUUCAAAGGGCUUUACCCUUCCCUUUAUAUUUAUGACAGGGUGUGCGGUGGGGGAGGCCGGUCGGCCCCUGGCGCUGUUUCCUGACAGAGUCUCCAAUGCUGAGAGCGGGGAGGGGCGACACCCCGCUGCCCCGGGAGAGCUUUCCCGCCCUUUUCCUGAGGUGGGUGACCGUUGGGCCCCACAGGUGGAAGAGGCGCGCGCGCGCGCGCCUCUCCCCGGGUUUCCGGCCCCCCCCCGCCCUUCCCCCGGCGGAGAGGACGCAGGCGGGCGGGGGCGGGGUCUGGCCGAGCCUCGCCGGCGCCUUGGUAACGGGACGUGGGAGGUGUAAACAAAAGGGGAGACCCCGCCCACUCCUGGGAGGAGGCCACGCCCGCUGGCUGCCUCGCCUGGCCCCGGCGGGGAGCGCGAGCCGGCCCCGGGUCCGGCCAGCCGUGCUGCCACGCGCUCCGGGCUGCGGCCCGCGCAGGAGAGGCGGUUCUAUCUUCAGGGCUUCAUGCUGAGUCCAUCAGUUCAGGUCAAUAAAAGGACUUACCAUGUGGAAGUCACUGGUUCAACUUUUAAACCCCACAUUGCACAGAGGCUGCACAACUGGCAACAGUUCUACACUUCUCCUGUGCUUCCACACCACUGGAACAGAGGAGAUAGCAUCUGGGACAUUAUCCUGCCAGCUGGCCAGAGGCUGACACCAAGGUGUGGAUAGCCCUUACAACAACAGAGAGAGCCAGGAACUUCAAUGCAAAGAUUGUAAUAUAAUCUCAGAUUAAUACAUAGAAUUGAUAA